GACGAACGCUGGCGGCGUGCCUUAUACAUGCAAGUCGAGUGGGUUUAGACCCACGGCACACGGGUGAGUAACACGUAGGUACUUUCCUUGUCACAGGAAUAACCCUCCGAAAGGAGGGCUAAUACCUGAUGUGAUCGCAAGAUUAAAGGGUAUCCGCAAGGAUUACCGGACAAGAAGAGGCCUGCGGCCUAUCAGCUAGUUGGCGGGGUAAAUGCCCACCAAGGCUAUGACGGGUAGCUGGUCUUAUGAGGAUGAUCAGUCACAUGGGCACUGAGACACGGGACCAACUCCUACGGGAGGCGGCAGUAGGGAAUUUUGCGCAAUGGGCGAAAGCCUGACGCAGCGACGCCGCGUGCGGGAUGAAGGCCUUCGGGUCGUAAACCGCUUUUAUAAGGGACGAACUUUGACGGUACCUUAUGAAUAAGAGGUUGCUAACUCUGUG
rnacentral:rRNA from 1 species